rnacentral:tRNA from 1 species
AAAAAGAUAAGCUAAAUUAAGCUAAUGGGUUCAUACCCCGUCUAUAGAAGAGUCUUCUUCUUUUUA